CAAGUAGAACGCUGAAGAGAGGAGCUUGCUCUUCUUGGAUGAGUUGCGAACGGGUGAGUAACGCGUAGGUAACCUGCCUUGUAGCGGGGGAUAACUAUUGGAAACGAUAGCUAAUACCGCAUAACAGUGGAUGACCCAUGUCAUUUAUUUGAAAGGGGCAAAUGCUCCACUACAAGAUGGACCUGCGUUGUAUUAGCUAGUAGGUGAGGUAACGGCUCACCUAGGCGACGAUGCAUAGCCGACCUGAGAGGGUGAUCGGCCACACUGGGACUGAGACACGGCCCAGACUCCUACGGGAGGCAGCAGUAGGGAAUCUUCGGCAAUGGGGGCAACCCUGACCGAGCAACGCCGCGUGAGUGAAGAAGGUUUUCGGAUCGUAAAGCUCUGUUGUAAGUCAAGAACGAGUGUGAGAGUGGAAAGUUCACACUGUGACGGUAGCUUACCAGAAAGGGACGGCUAACUACGUGCCAGCAGCCGCGGUAAUACGUAGGUCCCGAGCGUUGUCCGGAUUUAUUGGGCGUAAAGCGAGCGCAGGCGGUUUGAUAAGUCUGAAGUUAAAGGCUGUGGCUCAACCAUAGUUCGCUUCGGAAACUGUCAAACUUGAGUGCAGAAGGGGAGAGUGGAAUUCCAUGUGUAGCGGUGAAAUGCGUAGAUAUAUGGAGGAACACCGGUGGCGAAAGCGGCUCUCUGGUCU
rnacentral:rRNA from 1 species